rnacentral:tRNA from 1 species
CGUGGGGUGGAGCAAUUAGGAAGCUCGUCGGGCUCAUAACCCGGAGGUUGUCGGUUCGAAUCCGGCCCCCGCAACCA